GUCUUCACCAGUGAACUGAUACUGAUCCGAUUCCGUGUCGUUAAAAAACGGAUUUUUUGAGGGCCGUAGAACGGAUUGGUUUCCGUUCUCUAACGCUAGAGUCGCAUGAAGGCAAUAACGUUAUGCCUACCCUCUAGCGCCUCUAGCUGAUUCAUAAUCGGAUUCGUUUCAGUUAACCGAUUUUUGACAAAGCAGCGCGUUGUUCAAAUCAGUGAGCGGACCCGUUUCCGUUCACAGAUCCGUUUCAGUUUAUUAUCAACUUGUUUUUAUAAUAAGAAGCCGAAACCUUUCCAUUAUUUGAACGGAUUCGUUUCCGUUUCCAUAGCACGUUUUUAGUAAACAAACUGUUUGCUUAUUAGAAUAUUAACCGAUUUUAAUUGUGUUAUUGAAAAACAAAACAACAAAAUGUCGUCGAACAAGAAAAGUGAUCUAUUGAAGGAUUUAAAAAAGAAUUAUAUAUUCAAAAGCAAAGAGAUUUCAAGAGGGAAAUAAGAAAAAACCAAAAGGAAAGAAAAAGUUUUCCCAAAGUUAAACGACAACUUAGUUCAUCAAUUCCCCCAGAUCUCAACAGAAAUGAAUCAGCCAAAAGAAAAAGAAUGAAAAGAACCUCUAAAGACUGUUCCACUGAAAACGAAAAUUCCCUGACAAUUGAUAGAGAAGAUAUUGAAGCAGCCAACAACUUAGAUUCACCUAUUCCGAGUCAGCUAGAACAAUAUCUGAAUCAAAUUCAAAGUGACUUCAAUAUUGAUGCUGACGGGAGUGUACCUCUAGGAGAAGAAGUGAAGAAACAUGAGAGACGUAUGGGCCAAAUUGCUGUUGAUUGGGAUGUGCACUGGGAUGAAGUUGUCAAUGGCCUUAUUGCAAGCUACGCAACUAUUCCAUCACUGUGCUGGAUUUGUAAAAGUCCCUUGCAGCUUGUUACACUCGCUGUCUCUGUUGUGUCAAGACAUAUUGUCAAGACUGCGACUUCCAAUUCCAUUCAUGGAAUGUGUUCCACAGAAGACAAUUAUUGUUUCAAGAUUCCAAAGUGAUUAAACUAAAGCCUAACGAGUUUUGGGAUUCAACUUUAGCUGAGAUAGUUACAAAAGAGGUUGCAGUUCCGUGCUUCGUUCCUCUGCAAUGCCAAUCUUGUCUAAGCAUAAACUCGUUGACAAUUGAACCAUUGAAGAGUAAAUUCAUGAUAGUUGUCACACUUCUAGGAUUUUUUCCAGUACCCGCAAUCCAUUAAAAUUUCAAGAGGGAAAAUUGUCUUAAUGAACUUGGAACUUAAUCGCAUUCAAGAGAAAGUUGCCAGAGCGGUCUCACUCUUCAAGAUAUACAUUCACGGGAGCUUCAACUGUAACUCCGAUUGUGAUACUGACCGUGACUCAGACCGUGAUUGUGAUCAAGACUCCGACAGUGAAUCUCAUCAAGACUUCAACAGUGACUCUCACCAAGACUCCGACUCAGAUUCUGAUCGUGAUGUCUCUGAACCUGACCCCAUCACUGUAUUGACUCUGUAGACGUUUUCAUGU
rnacentral:lncRNA from 1 species